GGAGAUAGCUGGUUCUCCCCGAAAGCUAUUUAGGUAGCGCCUCGUGAAUUCAUCUCCGGGGGUAGAGCACUGUUUCGGCUAGGGGGCCAUCCCGGCUUACCAACCCGAUGCAAACUGCGAAUACCGGAGAAUGUUAUCACGGGAGACACACGGCGGGUGCUAACGUCCGUCGUGAAGAGGGAAACAACCCAGACCGCCAGCUAAGGUCCCAAAGUCAUGGUUAAGUGGGAAACGAUGUGGGAAGGCCCAGACAGCCAGGAUGUUGGCUUAGAAGCAGCCAUCAUUUAAAGAAAGCGUAAUAGCUCACUGGUCGAGUCGGCCUGCGCGGAAGAUGUAACGGGGCUAAACCAUGCACCGAAGCUGCGGCAGCGACGCUUAUGCGUUGUUGG
rnacentral:rRNA from 1 species